AACGAACGCUGGCGGCAUGCCUAACACAUGCAAGUCGAACGAGACCUUCGGGUCUAGUGGCGCACGGGUGCGUAACGCGUGGGAACCUGCCCUUAGGUUCGGAAUAACUCCCCGAAAGGGGUGCUAAUACCGGAUAAUGCCUUCGGACCAAAGAUUUAUCGCCUUUGGAUGGGCCCGCGUUGGAUUAGCUAGUUGGUAGGGUAAAAGCCUACCAAGGCGACGAUCCAUAGCUGGUCUGAGAGGAUGAUCAGCCACACUGGGACUGGGACACGGCCCAGACUCCUACGGGAGGCAGCAGUGGGGAAUAUUGGACAAUGGGCGAAAGCCUGAUCCAGCAAUGCCGCGUGAGUGAUGAAGGCCUUAGGGUUGUAAAGCUCUUUUACCCGGGAUGAUAAUGACAGUACCGGGAGAAUAAGCUCCGGCUAACUCCGUG
rnacentral:rRNA from 1 species